rnacentral:rRNA from 1 species
AAGCUCGUAGUUGAAUUUCGGGUUCUACCGUUGGUCGGGCUAACCAGUCUGUACUAGCGUGUAGAAUUCCUACCUUCUGGGGAACCAUCAUGUUAUUAAUUUAGCGUGGUGGGAAACCAGGACCUUUACCUUGAAAAAAUUAGAGUGUUCAAAGCAGGCUUACGUCUGAAUACAUUAGCAUGGAAUAAUAAAAUAGGACGGUGGUCCUGUUUUGUUGGUUUCUGAAUCACCGUAAUGAUUAAAGGGAUAGUUGGG